UAUCUUUGGGUCUGGCUCUUGUCUAUGUUUCUUGGAACAGAACGUCACAGAGGGUGAGAAUCCCGUGCGAUGAGAUGAUCCAGGCCUAUGUAAAGUUCCUUCGAAGAGUCGAGUUGUUUGGGAAUGCAGCUCUAAGUGGGUGGUAAAUUCCAUCUAAAGCUAAAUAUUGGCGAGAGACCGAUAGCGAACAAGUACAGUGAUGGAAAGAUGAAAAGAACUUUGAAAAGAGAGUGAAAAAGUACGUGAAAUUGUUGAAAGGGAAGGGCUUGAGAUCAGACUUGGUAUUUUGUAUGUUACUUCUUCGGGGGUGGCCUCUACAGUUUAUCGGGCCAGCAUCAGUUUGGGCGGUAGGAGAAUUGCGUUGGAAUGUGGCACGGCUUCGGUUGUGUGUUAUAGCCUUCGUCGAUACUGCCAGCCUAGACUGAGGACUGCGGUUUAUACCUAGGAUGUUGGCAUAAUGAUCUU
rnacentral:rRNA from 1 species